rnacentral:miRNA from 1 species
UGAUGCUGCAACUGCUGCUGCUGCUGAUGAUGAUGAUGCUGCAAGAAUCGUUUUCGUCAUUGUCGCUGCUGUUUUAUCAUCAUCAUUACCAUCAUCAUCAUCAUCAUCAUCA